rnacentral:rRNA from 1 species
UACGAAGGGGGCUAGCGUUGCUCGGAAUCACUGGGCGUAAAGCGCACGUAGGCGGCUUGCUAAGUCAGGGGUGAAAUCCUGGAGCUCAACUCCAGAACUGCCUUUGAUACUGGCGAGCUCGAGUCCGGGAGAGGUGAGUGGAACUGCGAGUGUAGAGGUGAAAUUCGUAGAUAUUCGCAAGAACACCAGUGGCGAAGGCGGCUCGCUGGCC